rnacentral:lncRNA from 1 species
UUGAAUUGUGACCCAGAUGGAAAAAGUUAUUGAAUUUGGAGAUUAAUUUGAUGUUUAAUGAGGACUGGUUUAAUUUUGAUUGAUUUGCUUUGUAAGUAUAAAAAGAUGAUCUUUUUGAGAUUUUACUCGAUAAGUUGUUAUCUUUUGACGUUUAGGUGUGUUUUUCAUUGAAAGGAGCCAUUGGAUGUUAAAUAUAGUGGUUGAAUUUUUUAUAUGUUUUUUAAAUUUGCUUGAGAAGUUGUUUAUUUUUAAUGUUUUAUGUAAGGGUUUUGUUUUUUUGUUUUUUUUUGUUGAAGGUAGGUAUAAAUGGAAAUGUACUGAGUGCAUUCAUUUUCUUAUUGGCGUUUGCAAUUUUGAGGCUACAACCUCUCAAUGAUAGAGUUUACUUUCCACAACCUCUCAAUGAUAGAGUUUACUUUCCAAAAUGGUAUCUGAAGGGCGUAAGAGGCAGCCCCUCGCGCUCUGGGGCGCUUGUUCGGUUUUUAAAUUGGAUGCCGGAAGCGCUUAAAAUGCCGGAGCCUGAGCUUAUUGAUCAUGCAGGAUUGGAUUAUGCUGUUUACUUGCGCAUUUACUUGAUGGGGUAAUCCGUUUUCCUUUUGUUUCUCGCUCUUUUUCUAUGCUCAUUUGUUGAUGAAAGAUUGUAUGCUGUACUUGUGCGGUCUAGAUGUUUCUGAAAAUGUCUGUCAUUUGUUAUUAUGUGCUGAGCUCGAUUUUGUUACCUACGCAG